UUGGUGGCGACCGGCGCACGGGUGCGUAACGCGUAUGUAACCUACCUAUAACAGGGGCAUAACACUGAGAAAUUGGUACUAAUUCCCCAUAAUAUUCGGAGAGGCAUCUCUCCGGGUUGAAAACUCCGGUGGUUAUAGAUGGACAUGCGUUGUAUUAGCUAGUUGGUGAGGUAACGGCUCACCAAGGCAACGAUACAUAGGGGGACUGAGAGGUUAACCCCCCACACUGGUACUGAGACACGGACCAGACUCCUACGGGAGGCAGCAGUGAGGAAUAUUGGUCAAUGGACGCAAGUCUGAACCAGCCAUGCCGCGUGCAGGAAGACGGCUCUAUGAGUUGUAAACUGCUUUUGUACGAGGGUAAACUCACCUACGUGUAGGUGACUGAAAGUAUCGUACGAAUAAGGAUCGGCUAACUCCGUGCCAGCAGCCGCGGUAAUACGGAGGAUUCAAGCGUUAUCCGGAUUUAUUGGGUUUAAAGGGUGCGUAGGCGGUUUGAUAAGUUAGAGGUGAAAUCCCGGGGCUUAACUCCGGAACUGCCUCUAAUACUGUUAGACUAGAGAGUAGUUGCGGUAGGCGGAAUGUAUGGUGUAGCGGUGAAAUGCUUAGAGAUCAUACAGAACACCGAUUGCGAAGGC
rnacentral:rRNA from 1 species